GUUCAAUUACAAGAAGUAAUUGAACUUUAACAGAAGCAGGCUCGAUGGACACUUAAAACUUGCAGACUUUUGUGAAUCGCGGAAACUAUUAAGAUAUGAGAGAGUUUGUAAACAUGCUUCUUGAAACAGAUCAGACUAUGAGGUACAAAAUUUACAAAAUUAAUUCACACGCCGAAUUCUUGGCAAAUGCACUGGACUACUUAAAACUAUUGUUUCUUCCCAGGGUCCGACAGGUUCUUCUUCUGAGUGAUGAAAUUGUCAAAGAGAUCAAUAGUAUGGCCGAAUAUAUUUCUUUCUUCUGGGCAUUGUUGCUUUUGACCUUUUGCAUUUUUAGAAGAAAAGUUUUAUAUUAUUUUUAA